AUGUCGGCUUCCCUGGUUAGUGUUGGAGCUCUGUCGAAUGUCACCCAGCGUCUCGACCUGCCGUUGGUUUUCCCCCGUGGCUCUCAACUCCAGUCAAGUCCAAUUUCUCUGGGAGAGAAACUGGCCAACUUCUCAACCCAUUCGUACCCAAAGACGACCCUGAACCAUGUGCUGUGGGCAGUAAUGUGCCACCUCCGUGCCGCUUUAGCCUCGUCGAUAUCCUCCCGUGGAGUGUUUCCGAGGGUGAAUCGGUCCGUCACUCAGUUGGCCCGGAAGAAGGAUGCCAGCGAUAUUCCAGGAUGUUGCGGCACGUGGUCAAGACUUCCAAGCGCGCGGUGCUUCCCGGGUGCGGGGGAAGCGGCGCCCUCCCCGACCUCGGCGCCCUCGUCCCCAGCCCCGACCCGGGGUCAGGGCGCCUUGUCCGCCGCCGGCUCGGCACGCAGGCGCCCAGCGGCGCAGCGCGCGCAGCGAGCAGGCGAGGCCAGGGGCGGCGGCGCCGUGCAGCUGGCGCUCGUGGCGGCGGAUCUGAACCUUGUGGCGGAAACGCUCGCCGCAGUCCUCGCAGGCAUAGGGCCGCUCGCCAGAGUGCGUGCGGCGGUGGCGCAGCAGGUUGGAAGAGACGCUGAAGCGCUUGCCGCAGUCGCCGCAGGCGUAGGGCCGCUCGCCCGUGUGCGUGCGCUGGUGCUGCACGAGUGCCGAGCUCUCGCUGAAGCGCUUGGCGCAGUACGGGCACGCGUAGGGCUUCUCGCCUGUGUGGAUGCGCUGGUGCGUCACCAGGUUCGAGUGCUGCGAGAAGCUCUUGCCGCAUUCGCCGCAGCGGUGCGGCCGCUCGCCCGUGUGUGUGGCCUGGUGCCGCACCAGGUCCGUGCUGCGGCUGAAGCCCUUGCCGCACUCCCGCAGAUGGUCGGCGGUCCCAGGCGCGCCCGCGCCGCCCGGGCGGCGGGCAGCGUCAGGGCGCGCCGCUCGGCGGGCCCGGGACAGCCACUAUGGAGGGCGCCGACACGGCCGCUGGCAGCACCAUCAGCUCCUGCAGCACCACGUAGCCCGGAGGCGCCACCACCACCGCGGCAGGCGCCCCCGCAGCGGCCGGCACCAGCUCCAGCUGCAGCUCGGGCGGCACAGGGGUCAGCUCCAGCUGCAGCUCAGGCGGGUGUACCCCAGGCUCCACCGGUGUCAGCUCCAGCUGCACCUCCGGCGGCUGCGCCAGCGGCUGCGCCAGCUGCUGCUCCAGCUGCUUCUCCAGCUGCUGCAACUGCUCCUGCAGUUGGAGCUGCAGCUGCCGCUGCUCCUGCUGCCGCUCCAGCUCCUGCCGCUGCCGCUCCAGCUCCUGAUCAGACUCCACGUCCACCGGCAUGA
rnacentral:lncRNA from 1 species